AAAUGAAGUCUCAACAUUUUCUACGUAUCUUAGUCUUUACCAGAUUUAGGAGUAACAAGGCGGCUCUCACGAGAUGCUAGACAAAUCAAACAGAAAGGUGGAUAUUUGGAAAGAACAGUCUUCUCGCACUGAUGAGUUGGAGGAAAAUAUUUAAGAGGCUGCCAUGGGAUUUCAGUCCCAUUCCAUAUCCAACCCACUAUAACUUAGAAGAAAAUUCACAGUUCUUGCUCAUCUAAUUUUCUGAGAUGAGUAAUCAAGACUUAUAAAAUAUUCACUCUUCAAGAUUUAGCUCACUUAGGUAAACCUCGAGACCAAUCCAGAAAUAAAUUGCCAAGCUUCUAUCAAAUAAUUCAAAAGAAGACCCAGGACUCUUGAUGAUAUACUUGAGGUCACUAAAUAUGAAAGAUGAUAGCAUCUUGGAAGGCAACAGCAGAGGAAAGGAGAAUUUUCACAGGGAAGAAGAAAGAGUUGGUGAAAGUGAAAUUGCUUUAACAAAAUAAUGACCUCUAUACCUCCUACUCGAACUGUGGUUUGAAGGACAGUAUCAUCAGCAUCACUUGGAGCUUGUGAGAAAUUUAGAAUUUCAAGGCCCCCUCGACCCCAACUUACUGAUGUAAACUCUGUAUUGUAACCCGAUCCCCAAGGUGAUUCUAGUGUACAUUAAAGUGUGAGAGUCUUGUUA